UACGUAGGUGGCAAGCGUUGUUCGGAUUUACUGGGCGUAAAGAGCGCGCAGGCGGUCGUCCAAGUCGGGUGUGAAAGCCCCCGGCUCAACUGGGGAGGGUCACGCGAUACUGGUCGACUCGAAGGCAGGAGAGGGUAGUGGAAUUCCCGGUGUAGUGGUGAAAUGCGUAGAUAUCGGGAGGAACACCAGUGGCGAAGGCGACUACCUGGCCUGUUCUUGACGCUGAGGCGCGAAAGCUAGGGGAGCAAACGGG
rnacentral:rRNA from 1 species